UGGGGAAUAUUGCACAAUGGGGGAAACCCUGAUGCAGCAACGCCGCGUGAGUGAUGAAGGCCUUCGGGUUGUAAAGCUCUGUCUUCAGGGACGAUAAUGACGGUACCUGAGGAGGAAGCCAUGGCUAACUACGUGCCAGCAGCCGCGGUAAUACGUAGGUGGCAAGCGUUGUCCGGAUUUACUGGGCGUAAAGGGAGCGUAGGCGGAUACUUAAGUGGGAUGUGAAAUACCUGGGCUUAACUUGGGUGCUGCAUUCCAAACUGGGUGUCUAGAGUGUUGGAGAGGAAAGUGGAAUUCCUAGUGUAGCGGUGAAAUGCGUAGAGAUUAGGAAGAACACCAGUGGCGAAGGCGACUUUCUGGACAAUAACUGACGCUGAGGCUCGAAAGCGUGGGGAGCAAACA
rnacentral:rRNA from 1 species